AGGAGGAACAGCCCCAGUGGCGGGGCAGCUCUGGAGCCCUGGAUUCAGCUCCGGCAGGAACUCCGGAGCUCUCCGUCUGCAGGGCCUGGAGGCUCCGGGGCGGG
rnacentral:pre_miRNA from 1 species